AAACCAACAGGGAUUGCCUCAGUAACGGCGAGUGAAGCGGCAAAAGCUCAAAUUUGAAACCCUCGGGAUUGUAAUUUGAAGAUUUGGCAUUGGAGAAAGCUAACCCAAGUUGCUUGGAAUAGUACGUCAUAGAGGGUGACAACCCCGUCUGGCUAACCGUUCUCCAUGUAUUGCCUUAUCAAAGAGUCGAGUUGUUUGGGAAUGCAGCUCAAAGUGGGUGGUAAACUCCAUCUAAAGCUAAAUACUGGUGAGAGACCGAUAGCGAACAAGUACUGUGAAGGAAAGGUGAAAAGAACUUUGAAAAGAGAGUGAAAUAGUAUGUGAAAUUGUUGAUAGGGAAGGAAAUGAGUGGAGAGUGGCCGAGGUUUCAGCCGCCCCUCGUGGGCGGUGUACUGCCGACGCCGAGUCAUCGAUAGCGAGACGAGGGUUACAAAUGGGAGCGCCUUCGGGCGUUCUCCCCUAACCCUCCACACUGCCACCGACGACAUAAUCCACCCAUUUCACCCGUC
rnacentral:rRNA from 1 species